rnacentral:rRNA from 1 species
GACGAACGCUGGCGGCGUGCUUAACACAUGCAAGUCGAACGGCAAGGCCCUGCUUUUGUGGGGUGCUCGAGUGGCGAACGGGUGAGUAACACGUGAGUAACCUGCCCUUGACUUUGGGAUAACUUCAGGAAACUGGGGCUAAUACAGGACAGGAGCUCCUGCUGCAUGGUGGGGGUUGGAAAGUUUCGGCGGUUGGGGAUGGACUCGCGGCUUAUCAGCUUGUUGGUGGGGUAGUGGCUUACCAAGGCUUUGACGGGUAGCCGGCCUGAGAGGGUGACCGGCCACAUUGGGACUGAGAUACGGCCCAGACGCCUACGGGAGGCAGCAGUGGGGAAUAUUGCACAAUGGGCGGAAGCCUGAUGCAGCAACGCCGCGUGCGGGAUGACGGCCUGCGGGUUGUAAACCGCUUUCGCCUGUGACGAAGCGUGAGUGACGGUAAUGGGUAAAGAAGCACCGGCUAACUACGUG